rnacentral:piRNA from 1 species
UCACAAAGAAGGUUCUUUUUU